AUUGAACGCUGGCGGAAUGCUUUACACAUGCAAGUCGAACGGCAGCACGGACUUCGGUCUGGUGGCGAGUGGCGAACGGGUGAGUAAUGUAGCGGAACGUGCCCAGUCGUGGGGGAUAACGUAGUGAAAAUUACGCUAAUACCGCAUACGAUCUAUGGAUGAAAGCGGGGGAUCGCAAGACCUCGCGCGAUUGGAGCGGCCGAUAUCAGAUUAGGUAGUUGGUGGGGGAAAGGCCCACCAAGCCAACGAUCUGUAGCUGGUCUGAGAGGACGACCAGCCACACUGGAACUGAGACACGGUCCAGGCUCCUACGGGAGGCAGCAGUGGGGAAUUUUGGACAAUAGGCGAAAGCCUGAUCCAGCCAUUCCGCGUGCAGGAUGAAGGCCCUCGGGUUGUAAACUGCUUUUGUACAGAACGAAAAGGUUUCUACUAAUACUAGGAGCUCAUGACGGUACUGUAAGAAUAAGCACCGGCUAACUACGUGCCAGCCGCCGCUGUAA
rnacentral:rRNA from 1 species